AAAUUGAAGAGUUUGAUCAUGGCUCAGAUUGAACGCUGGCGGCAGGCCUAACACAUGCAAGUCGAGCGGUAGCACAGAGAGCUUGCUCUCGGGUGACGAGCGGCGGACGGGUGAGUAAUGUCUGGGAAACUGCCUGAUGGAGGGGGAUAACUACUGGAAACGGUAGCUAAUACCGCAUAACGUCGCAAGACCAAAGUGGGGGACCUUCGGGCCUCAUGCCAUCAGAUGUGCCCAGAUGGGAUUAGCUAGUAGGUGGGGUAACGGCUCACCUAGGCGACGAUCCCUAGCUGGUCUGAGAGGAUGACCAGCCACACUGGAACUGAGACACGGUCCAGACUCCUACGGGAGGCAGCAGUGGGGAAUAUUGCACAAUGGGCGCAAGCCUGAUGCAGCCAUGCCGCGUGUGUGAAGAAGGCCUUCGGGUUGUAAAGCACUUUCAGCGGGGAGGAAGGCGUUAAGGUUAAUAACCUCAUCGAUUGACGUUACCCGCAGAAGAAGCACCGGCUAACUCCGUGCCAGCAGCCGCGGUAAUACGGAGGGUGCAAGCGUUAAUCGGAAUUACUGGGCGUAAAGCGCACGCAGGCGGUCUGUCAAGUCGGAUGUGAAAUCCCCGGGCUCAACCUGGGAACUGCAUUCGAAACUGGCAGGCUAGAGUCUUGUAGAGGGGGUAGAAUUCCAGGUGUAGCGGUGAAAUGCGUAGAGAUCUGGAGGAAUACCGGUGGCGAAGGCGGCCCCCUGGACAAAGACUGACGCUCAGGUGCGAAAGCGUGGGGAGCAAACAGGAUUAGAUACCCUGGUAGUCCACGCCGUAAACGAUGUCGAUUUGGAGGUUGUGCCCUUGAGGCGUGGCUUCCGGAGCUAACGCGUUAAAUCGACCGCCUGGGGAGUACGGCCGCAAGGUUAAAACUCAAAUGAAUUGACGGGGGCCCGCACAAGCGGUGGAGCAUGUGGUUUAAUUCGAUGCAACGCGAAGAACCUUACCUGGUCUUGACAUCCACAGAACUUAGCAGAGAUGCUUUGGUGCCUUCGGGAACUGUGAGACAGGUGCUGCAUGGCUGUCGUCAGCUCGUGUUGUGAAAUGUUGGGUUAAGUCCCGCAACGAGCGCAACCCUUAUCCUUUGUUGCCAGCGGUCCGGCCGGGAACUCAAAGGAGACUGCCAGUGAUAAACUGGAGGAAGGUGGGGAUGACGUCAAGUCAUCAUGGCCCUUACGACCAGGGCUACACACGUGCUACAAUGGCAUAUACAAAGAGAAGCGACCUCGCGAGAGCAAGCGGACCUCAUAAAGUAUGUCGUAGUCCGGAUUGGAGUCUGCAACUCGACUCCAUGAAGUCGGAAUCGCUAGUAAUCGUAGAUCAGAAUGCUACGGUGAAUACGUUCCCGGGCCUUGUACACACCGCCCGUCACACCAUGGGAGUGGGUUGCAAAAGAAGUAGGUAGCUUAACCUUCGGGAGGGCGCUUACCACUUUGUGAUUCAUGACUGGGGUGAAGUCGUAACAAGGUAACCGUAGGGGAACCUGCGGUUGGAUCACCUCCUUA
rnacentral:rRNA from 1 species